rnacentral:tRNA from 1 species
UCCCCGGUGGCUCAGAUGGUAAAGCGUCUGCCUGCAAUGCGGGAGACCCAGGUUCGAUCCCUGGGUUGGGAA